rnacentral:rRNA from 1 species
UAGAGUUUGAUCCUGGCUCAGGAUGAACGCUGGCGGUAUGCCUAACACAUGCAAGUCGUACGAGAGUUUUUAACUCUAGUGGCGGACGGGUGAGUAACACGUGAGAAUUUGCCUUUAGGAGGGGGAUAACAAUUGGAAACGAAUGCUAAUACCCCAUAUGCUUUCGAGUGAAAUGGAUUUAUAUUUAUCCGCCUAGAGAGAAGCUCGCGGCUGAUUAGCUUGUUGGUAAGGUAAGAGCUUACCAAGGCGACGAUCAGUAUCUGGCUUGAGAGGACGAUCAGACACACUGGAACUGAGACACGGUCCAGACUCCUACGGGAGGCAGCAGUGGGGAAUUUUCCGCAAUGGGCGAAAGCCUGACGGAGCAAUACCGCGUGAGGGAAGACUGCCUAUGGGUUGUAAACCUCUUUUUUCAGGGAGGAAUCAAUGACGUGUACCUGAAGAAUAAGCAUCGGCUAACUCCGUGCCAGCAGCCGCGGUAAGACGGAGGAUGCAAGUGUUAUCCGGAAUCACUGGGCGUAAAGCGUCUGUAGGUGGUUUAAUAAGUCAACUGUUUAAAUCUUGAGGCUCAACUUCAAAAUCGCAGUC